UACGGAGGGUGCAAGCGUUAUCCGGAUUCACUGGGUUUAAAGGGUGCGUAGGUGGGCUUGUAAGUCAGUGGUGAAAUCUCCGGGCUUAACUCGGAAACUGCCAUUGAUACUAUAAGUCUUGAAUACCAUGGAGGUGAGCGGAAUAUGUCAUGUAGCGGUGAAAUGCUUAGAUAUGACAUAGAACACCAAUUGCGAAGGCAGCUCGCUACGCGGUUAUUGACAACUGAGGCACGAAAGCGUGGGGAUCAAACAGG
rnacentral:rRNA from 1 species